rnacentral:lncRNA from 1 species
GGCCUGUUCUGAAAUUGUCAUAAAGAUUUAUAGAGAAAUUCAGAAUAACUUUGGAGAGCUAAAGAAGAUAGAUUGCUGAUAACAGAUGUGGGAUGGACAACAUCUCAAAAGACCAGCACCCUAAAGAAGUGUAAUGAGUGGGGGA